GGGGAAUUUUCCGCAAUGGGCGAAAGCCUGACGGAGCAAUACCGCGUGAGGGAUGACUGCCUAUGGGUUGUAAACCUCUUUUUUCAGGGAGGAAGAGAUGACGUGUACCUGAAGAAUAAGCAUCGGCUAACUC
rnacentral:rRNA from 1 species